UGGGGGAGAGAAAAAGCUGGAAGAACCAAAUGAGCAAAAACAUGGCAGGGGGACAAGGGAAGUGACUUGCAGAACAGUUUUAGGAAGGGGAGCAAAGCGGAGAUCAGAAGUACCCAACCAAAUGCCAGACCACAUAAGCUUUGUCACCAAGUGCCCUGACGUCUGCCAAACUGAAGUUCUUGAGGAUCUCAAAGAAUUCGAAACCAUAUAUAAAAUAAAUAAAUGCAAAUGGCACAUCUCCUA